GUAAAGAGAAGCCCUCAAACGAGUUUUGUAGAUGGAGGAGCUCGGCUUCUUCUUUACUUGAUCCUCCUCUGAUUUGGCAUGAAGUAGAGGAUCCCCGAGGCAGCACACGGAUGGAGAGGAAGCUUUCGGAUUCACUUGGAUGCUCUUCUUCUCUCUAUUUCGUUUUGGAUGGCCCUUUUGUGCUUGUGGGAGAUUUCCUUUGUAAUCUCUUUGAGAUCUCUUUCCUAGAUGAUCUCUCCCACUUCCAUGACUUCUCCCCUAGCUCUCUUCUUGUUUUUAUAGCUUUAGAUAACGUGGAAACAAGAAUAUAGCCGUUAGAGACAAAAAUAGAGCCGUUGGACACAGUCUGCACUUCCUGACAAUAUUACCAUUGGGAUCGGAGUUGACUCGCGCGAUCAGGAGUCGGCUCGCCUGUUG
rnacentral:lncRNA from 1 species